rnacentral:rRNA from 1 species
ACCAAACAGCUAGCUCAAACCAUAAAAACCAAAUUAAUGAUAUAGAUAGUUCUACAGAAAGCUAAAAGUACAGACUAAACCAUUCGACCACCUCAGUAUGGGCGACAGAAAAGGAAAAAAGACGCUAUAGACAAA